AUAAAAAUUGACUGCAGCAAUUGGAGUUUGCAAGCCAGCGAUCUGACUAAUAUUCACUGUGUGGGUGAGCUCAGAAGACAGCCUUGUCCACCUUGUCCCCGUGUUGUCGCAGCUACAUGCACAGAGAUGGGUUAUAGGGGACCCCCGAUUCGGCCUUUGCCUCCAAAUUCAGGACUCUGGUGGGCUGAAAUGAGCCUAAGUUUGGUUAGGAAGGGCGUCCCUGGACAGUGAUGGUUCAGUACUUGAACAAAAACUUUGAUUAAGAAAAGCUCGGGGGAUAUUACCUGUCGUUUCCAAUCAGAUUAAGAAGUCCACACCGCACCAGAUUCUUGGAUCAUAUUUUCGUUCAUGCAAA
rnacentral:lncRNA from 1 species